rnacentral:rRNA from 1 species
AACGAACGCUGGCGGCAGGCCUAACACAUGCAAGUCGAACGCCCUAGCAAUAGGGAGUGGCAGACGGGUGAGUAACGCGUGGGAACGUACCCUUCGGUUCGGAAUAACCCAGGGAAACUUGGACUAAUACCGGAUACGUGCGAGAGCAGAAAGAUUUAUCGCCGAAGGAUCGGCCCGCGUCCGAUUAGCUAGUUGGUGAGGUAAUGGCUCACCAAGGCGACGAUCGGUAGCUGGUCNGAGAGGAUGAUCAGCCACACUGGGACUGAGACACGGCCAGACUCCUACGGGAGGCAGCAGUGGGGAAUAUUGGACAAUGGGCGCAAGCCUGAUCCAGCCAUGCCGCGUGAGUGAUGAAGGCCCUAGGGUUGUAAAGCUCUUUCGCCAGGGACGAUAAUGACGGUACCUGGAUAAGAAGCCCCGGCUAACUUCGUGCCAGCAGCCGCCGUAAC